rnacentral:lncRNA from 1 species
AUGGGAUGUCACAGGUGCAAUAGACUAAUGUAUGUCACAGCUUGCCUAUUGAGUUAUAUGCUGGUUUGCUCUUGUAAGAGCCAGCACUGCUGUUAUGCUGUCAACACGAGGUUUCAGAAGGAAUUCCUUUGGGAGUGCCUUGGGAGGCCUUUUGAAAUGAUACAUUUUUAAUAAACAUGUGUCUUGGGAGAGGGAGAGGGAGGAAGACAGAUUCUGUAUACAGGUAUUUAAACUAUUUUGUGUGUGUGCGUCUGUGUUUCUGUGUGUGUGUUUGUCCAUGUGUCCUAUAGUACCUUUGAAGAUACUUCAGAAAAUAACAUUUUGUAUGCUCUUGUUCCAUGGCAUAUAUUUAAAACUAAAACAAUAAAGAAACCAACAUUUUAGGAAAAGUACUACA